GUGGGGAAUAUUGGACAAUGGGCGAAAGCCUGAUCCAGCCAUGCCGCGUGUGUGAAGAAGGUCUUCGGAUUGUAAAGCACUUUAAGUUGGGAGGAAGGGCAGUAAGUUAAUACCUUGCUGUUUUGACGUUACCAACAGAAUAAGCACCGGCUAACUUCGUGCCAGCAGCCGCGGUAAUACGAAGGGUGCAAGCGUUAAUCGGAAUUACUGGGCGUAAAGCGCGCGUAGGUGGUUCAGCAAGUUGGAGGUGAAAUCCCCGGGCUCAACCUGGGAACUGCCUCCAAAACUGCAUGACUAGAGUACGGUAGAGGGUAGUGGAAGUUCCUGUGUAGCGGUGAAAUGCGUAGAUAUAGGAAGGAACACCAGUGGCGAAGGCGACUACCUGGACUGAUACUGACACUGAGGUGCGAAAGCGUGGGGAGCAAACAGGAUUAGAUACCCUUGUAGUCC
rnacentral:rRNA from 1 species